GGAAAGGCUUACGGUGGAUACCUAGGCACCCAGAAAUAAGAAAGGGCGUAGUAAUCGAUGAAAUGCUUUGGGGAGUUAAAAAUAAGAACAGUGGCGAGCGAAAUGGGAGAAGCCUAAACCCUGAAAACGGGGUUGUGGAAGAGCAAUACAAGCAGCAUACUGCUAGGCAAAGCAACCUGAAUAUUGCACCCUAGAUGGCGAAAGUCCAGUAGCCGAAAGCAUACUAGCUUACGCUCUGACCCGAGUAUUAUGAGGCACGUGGAAUCCCUUGUAAAUUAGUAGGGACCACCUUGUAAGGCUAAAUACUCCUGGAUGACUGAUAGCAAAGUAGUAUCGUGAGGGAAGGGUGAAAAGAACCCCCGUCAGGGAGUGAAAUAGAACAUGAAGCCAUAAGCUCCCAACCAGUGGAAGGAGCCAGGGCUCUGAACGUGUGCCUGUUAAAGAAUGAGUAGAUGACUCAUAGGCAGUGGCUUGGUUAAGGGAACCACUGGAGCCGUAGCAAAAGUGAGUCUUCAUAGGGCAAUUAUCACUACUUAUGGACCCGAACAUGGGUGAUCUAUCCAUGACCAGGAUGAAGCUUAGGGAAACUAAGUGGAGGUCCGAACCAACUGAUGUUGAAGAAUCAGCGGAUGAGUUAUGGUUAGGGGUGAAAUGCCACUCAAACCCAGAGCUAGAUGGUUCUCCCUAAAAUGCAUUGAGGUGCAGCGGUUGACUGAACAUUUAGGGGUAAAGCACUAUUUUAGUGCUGGCAGCGAGAGCGGAACCAAAUCAAGGAAAUCUUUGAAUACUAGGUAUGGCCUUAAAAUUAAAAACAAGGAGUCAAAGUCAGCUAGUUAGAUGAUGGGGGAUAAGCUUCAUUAGCUAGAGGUAAACAACUCGAAUCACCAGAUAAGGCCCCUAAAUGGCCGCUUAGUGAUAAAGGAGGUAGGGUGCAGAGACAUCCAGGAGGUUUGCCUAGAAGCAGCCACCCUUGAAAGAGUGUGUAAUAGCUUAUUGAUCGAGCGCUCUUGCACCGACGAUGAACAGAUCUAAAUGAUCUGCCAAAGAUAUGGCAUGUAAAAAUACAUAGGUAGGGGAGUGUUCCACCUUAGAGGGAAGCCUCCACACGAGCGGUGGUGGAUGAAGCAAAAGCGAGAAUAUCAGCUUGAGUAACGCAAACAUUGUUGAGAAUCUAAUGCCCUAAAAACCAAAGGGUUCCUCCGCAAGGUUCGUCCACGGAGGGUGAGUCAGGGCCUAAGAUCAGGCCGAAAGGCAUAGUCGAUGGACAACAGGUGAAUAUUCCUGUACUAGCCAUUGUUGGUCCCGAGGGAUUGAGGAGUCUAGGUUAGCCAAAAUUUGGUUAUCGGUUCAAGAACGUAAGGUGUCCCUACCCUUUUUUCAGGGUAAGAAGGGGUAGAGAAAAUGCCUCGAGCUAAUGUUUGAAUACCAGGUGCUACGGUGCUGAAGUAACCUAUGCCAUACACCUAGGAAAAUCUUGAAUGACUUUGAGCAAGAGGGUAUCGGUACCCCAAACCGACACAGGUGGGUAGGUAGAGAAUACCUAGGGGGGGGAGACAACUCUCUCUAAGGAACUCGGAAAAAUAGCCUCGUAACUUCGGGAGAAGGGGUGCCACUUCACAUCAUAAAGGGGGUCACAGUGAGAAGGCCCGGGCAACUAUUUACAGAAAAACAAAGGUCUCCGUAAAGUAGUAAGACCAUUUAUGGGGGCAAACGCCUGCUCAGUGCCAGAAUAUCAAGGAAGUUGGUGACCUGAUGACAGAGGAUCCGGCAAAUGAAGCCGUAGUGAACGGCGGUCGUAACUAUAAUGGUCCUAAGGUAGCAAAAUCCUUAUCAGGUAAGUUCCGACCCACACAAAAGGCGUAACUAUCUGUGCACUAUCUCGGAGAGAGGCUCGGUGAAAUAGAUAUGUCUGUGAAGAUGCGUACUACCUACACCACGACAGAAAGACCCUAUGAAGCUUCAUUGUUCCCUGGGAUUGGCUUUGGGCCUUUCCUGCACAGCUUAGGUAGAGGGCGAAGAAGGUCUCCUUCCGAGGGUCCCGUGCUAUCAGUAAGAUACCACUCUGGAAGUGAUAGAAUUCUAACCUUGUGUCAGGACCUACGGACCAAGGGACAGUCUUAAGUAGAAAGUUUCUAUGGGGCGUAGGCCUCCCAAGAGGUAAUGGAGGCGUGAAAAGGUUUCCUCGGGCUGGAUAGAGAUUGGCCCUCGAGUGAAAAGGCAGAAGGGAGCUUGACUGCAAGACCCACCCAUCGAGCAGGGAAGAAAGUCGGCCUUAGUGAUCUGACAGUGCUGACUGUAAGGGUCGUCAUUCAAUAGAUAAUAGUUACUCUAGGGAUAACAGGAUGAUCUUUCUCAAGAGCUCAUAUCAACGGGAAGGUUUGGCACCUCGAUGUCCGAUCUUCACCACCUGGGGUUGUAGUAUGUUCCAAUGGUUAGGCUGUUCGCCCAUUAAAGUGGUACGUGAGCUGGGUUCAAAAUAUCGUGAGACAGUUCGGUCCAUAUCAGGUGUGGACGUUAGAGCAUUGAGAGGACCUUUUCCAAGUAUGAGAGGACCUUUUCCAAGUAUGAGAGGACGGGGAAGGAUGUACCUCUAGUGUACCAGUUAUCGUGCUCACGGUAAACGCUGGGUAGCCAAGUGCGGAGCGGAUAACUGCAGAAAGCAUCUAAGUGUAAGCCCACCCCAAGAUGAGUGCUCUCCUAUUUCGACUUCCCCAAAGCUUCCGAUAGCAUAUCCGAGAUAGCGACGGGUUCUCUGCCACUGCGGUGAUGGAAUAACAGAAGUUUUUUUAGGAAUUCAAGAGAAGGUUACGGCGAGACAAGCUAUUUAUCAUUACGAUAGGU
rnacentral:rRNA from 1 species